rnacentral:lncRNA from 1 species
UCCAAUGCUCAAAAUCUCAAAUGUUAUUUCUAUUGGGGAAGUGCUUGAUGACGCAUUGCUUGAAGUAAUAAAAUUACAUCAUCUUUCAUCAUUUUAGUUAUCAAAUUGAUGAAGUCGCAUCAACAAAAUAGUUUAAUUUUCUUCUUGUCUUAAUCCUAAUCCUAAUCAGUGGCAGCUGAGGGUUGCCACGGUUCUUCUCCAUCCUAAUUUUUUUCUUUAUAGAUAGAGUAUAAUUCAAAUAUAUUAUUAGUAAUUUUAAGUAAUUCAAUAUACAUAUUUA